UACAGAGGGGGCAAGCGUUGUUCGGAAUUACUGGGCGUAAAGGGCGCGUAGGCGGCCUGCUAAGUCGAACGUGAAAUCCCCGGGCUCAACCCGGGAACUGCGUCCGAUACUGACAGGCUCGAAUCCGGGAGAGGGAUGUGGAAUUCCAGGUGUAGCGGUGAAAUGCGUAGAUAUCGGGAGGAACACCAGUGGCGAAGGCGGCUCUCUGGGCCCUACCUGACGCUGAGACGCGAAAGCGUGGGGAGCGAACCGG
rnacentral:rRNA from 1 species